rnacentral:lncRNA from 1 species
AUGGCGGCGUCGCUUCCCGCCCGCGGGGCGCUUCCGGCGGGGCCUAGCGCGGCCAUGGCGGAUCUGACGGACGCGGAGCUCCGCAAGGAGCUGCUGGCGCUCGGCUAUCGCCCGGGGCCCAUCACCGCCACCACCCGCAAGGUCUACAUCAAGAAGCUGGGCUGCCUGCGGGCCGAGGUGGCGGCGGCCCGGCGCAGCGGCCGCACCGCGCCGCCCAGCCCGGGCCGCUCCUCCGCAGGGCCGCCGCAGGCCUCGCCCUCGCGGCAGCGCUCCGGCUUCACCGGCGCGGCCGCCCGUGAGAGUGACGAGGAGGACGAGGAGGAGGAAGAGGAGGAGGAAGUGGGGCGGCCGCCCGCGUCCCGUUGGGGGACGUCGGGGGACAGCGGCAGGCAGUCCUGGGGGGACCCCCGGGGGUCCCCGCCGGGCCGGGCUGGAGGCAUCAGGGUUGAGGGCGGCUUCUCCCGGGACAGCCUCGGGAGGCUGAGCCCUUCGGAGCAGUGGGGGACGACUGUGGAGAGAGGUGGCGGUGGGCUGGGGGCAUCCCUGGCCGGGCACGGGGGCUUCAGCUCCCCCUCGCAGUGGGACACGUCCAUAGAGAGGAGCGGGGGCCUGGGGGCGGACAAGGCCGGGGCGCUGAGCUCUGCGUCCCACUGGGACACAUCCAGAGAUGUCGCAGAGCACGGCCGGGGGCUCAGCCAGGGGCUGGGGACCACCCUGGAUGGGUUUCGGGGCUCCUCACUGCAGUGGGGCGCCUCAGAGAGGAGUGGGGGGCUCAGCAGUGGCGUGAGACCCACCCUGGACAGGUUCCGGGGCUCAAACUCCACGUCCCAGUGGAGCCCCUCGGCAGAGAGGAGCGGGGGGCUCGGCAGCCGGGCGGCCUCGGGGUUGGAUGGGGUUGGGGGGCUGAGCUCCACACCCUACUGGGGCUCCUCGGCGGGCUCCAAACCCCUUCCCAGCGAGGAGAAAUCCAGUAGCUAUUGGGGGACAUCGGGAGGGGGAAUUGGCUCCUCGGUAGGCUCUAAACCCCUUCCCAGCGAGGAGAAACCCAGGAGCCAUUGGGGGACAUCGGGAGGGGGAAUUGGCUCCUCGGUAGGCUCUAAACCCCUUCCCAGCGAGGAGAAAUCCAGGAGCCAUUGGGGGACAUCGGGAGGGGGGAAUUGGGGCGCAGAGCUCGCGGGCUGCCUGGGACACGGCGGGCGAGAGGAGGGGGCUCUCCUCCAACAGCUGGUGGAGACAGGAGAGCGAGGUGACCCCCAGCACCCAGUGGGGCUCCUCGGCGGCCCCAGGCAGGUUCAGCAGCCUGUUCAGGAGAGGGAAGGAGGACCUGGCUCCCAGCGUUGGGAAGGAGGCAGAGCGGGAUGCGGGCAGCAGGGCUGGGGGGCUGAUCCGGCGCUUCCCGUGGCGGGCAGCCAGCGAUGGGGGGCACGGGGUGACCCCACGGACGGCGCUGCUGCGCUCAGCACCCCGGCCCCAGGCUGA